GCCUACGGGAGGCAGCAGUAGGGAAUUUUCGUCAAUGGGCGCAAGCCUGAACGAGCAAUGCCGCGUGAACGAGGAAGGUCUUCGGAUCGUAAAGUUCUGUUGAAGGGGAAAAAGAGCGGAGAGAGGAAAUGCUUUCUGAUUGAUAUUACCCUUCGAGGAAGUCACGGCUAACUACGUGCCAGCAGCCGCGGUAAUACGUAGGUGGCGAGCGUUAUCCGGAAUGAUUGGACGUAAAGGGUGCGUAGGCGGCCUGCUAAGUCUGGAGUGAAAGGUACCGGCUCAACCGGUACAGGCUCUGGAAACUG
rnacentral:rRNA from 1 species